CACGUAGGGUGCGAGCGUUGUCCGGAAUUAUUGGGCGUAUAGAGCUCGUAGGCGGUGUGUCGCGUCGGCCGUGAAAACCUGCAGCUUAACUGUGGGCGUGCGGUCGAUACGGGCAUCACUGGAGUUCGGCAGGGGAGACUGGAAUUCCUGGUGUAGCGGUGAAAUGCGCAGAUAUCAGGAGGAACACCGGUGGCGAAGGCGGGUCUCUGGGCCGAUACUGACGCUGAGGAGCGAAAGCGUGGGGAGCGAACAGG
rnacentral:rRNA from 1 species